AUGGUGCUGUAAUGGAAAUCCUUUAUUUGUGACUCUUGUGGCCUUGUGUGAGAGUUUUUUCCUAAGGACAUCUGUUUCUGAACUGUCAAUACAUACCAGAUGGACUGCAGAGAACCAGAGUUUUAAAUGUCUUACUACCAGAACUUAAAGACCUUUAAGCAGAUGAUCACUAACAGAAGGAUCAAAAAGGAGAAAGUAUAAGGAUCAAAAGGGAGAAAAUAUAAAGCUUAUUCUGUUGCCUCUUUAAAUUUAUGGAAACAAUCAACAUACCUGAUAUUAUAUUCUCUCAGGCCCCAGCAGUUCUUCCACAGGAUUGAGUAAGGAAGAUAGAGAAAAAGGUCAGCAUGUAAAAAAAUGAUGGUACUUGACAGUCCAGCUGCCACGAUGCUUUCCAAAAACUGGAUUUCUACUGGAUUCUUCAAGAUUACAAAGUUACAGCCUUAAC